rnacentral:rRNA from 1 species
GACGAACGCUGGCGGCGUGCCUAAUACAUGCAAGUCGAACGCAGUGGGGACGGGGGAGUAACACGUGGGUAACCUCCCCUCAGAGGGGAUAACACUUGGAAACAGGUGCUAAACCGAUACUGAUGGAUGAAACCGGGGUGCAUUAGCUAGUUGGUGCGGUAACGGCUCACCAAGGCCACGCUGCAUAGCCUACUCGAGAGUGUGUCCGGCCACACGUGGACGUAUGCACGGCCCAGACUCCUCCGGGAGCCAGCAGUAGGGAAUCUUCGGCAAUGGACGAAAGUCGGACCUAGCAACGCCGCGUGAGUGAAUAAGGUGUUCGGAUCUUAAAACUCUGUUGUUAGAGAAGCGGUAUCUAACCAGAAAGCCACGGCUAAUUACGUGCCAGCAGCCGCGGUAAUAC